rnacentral:rRNA from 1 species
AAGUGCGAUAAGGGGACUCCGAGUGCGGUCUUCCCACAAGGAAGGCCGCUUUUCUGCACUGUAAGGAGGUACAGGAACAAGGGGUGGGCAAUACUGCUGCCAGCCGCCGCGGUAAUAGCAGAACCCCAGUGGUAGCCACUGUUAUUGGGCUUAAAGUGUUCGUAGCCGCCAUGUAAGUCCGCUGUGAAAUCCACGCGCUCAACGUGUGGAAGUGCAUGCGGAUACUGCAUGGCUAGGACCGGACGGCGUCGAGGCUAUUCCAGGGGUAGGAGUGAAAUCCAAAAAUCCCUGGAGGAGCACCUGUGGCGAAAGCGCUCGGCGAGUACGGAUCCGCGGUGAGGAACGAAAGCCAGGGGACAAGGGGAUUAGAUACCCUCGUAGUCCUGGCCGUUAACAAUGUCCGUUUAUGUCGGCUUAACCUCCGUGGGUUAGCCGGUGCCGAAGUAAAAACGUUAAACGGACCGCCUGG